GGCUUCCUACGGGAGGCAGCAGUGGGGAAUAUUGCACAAUGGGCGGAAGCCUGAUGCAGCGACGCCGCGUGAGGGAUGACGGCCUUCGGGUUGUAAACCUCUUUCAGCAGGGACGAAGCGUAAGUGACGGUACCUGCAGAAGAAGCACCGGCCAACUACGUGCCAGCAGCCGCGGUAAGACGUAGGGUGCGAGCGUUGUCCGGGUUUAUUGGGCGUAAAGAGCUCGUAGGCGGCUUGUCGCGUCGACUGUGAAAACCCGCAGCUCAACUGCGGGCCUGCAGUCGAUACGGGCAGGCUAGAGUUCGGUAGGGGAGACUGGAAUUCCUGGUGUAGCGGUGAAAUGCGCAGAUAUCAGGAGGAACACCGGUGGCGAAGGCGGGUCUCUGGGCCGAUACUGACGCUGAGGAGCGAAAGCGUGGGGAGCGAACAGGAUUAGAUACCCUGGUAGUCCACGCUGUAAACGUUGGGCGCUAGGUGUGGGGGGCCUCUCCGGUUCCCUGUGCCGCAGCUAACGCAUUAAGCGCCCCGCCUAGGGAGUACGGCCGCAAGGCU
rnacentral:rRNA from 1 species